rnacentral:rRNA from 1 species
UACAGAGGUGGCAAGCGUUGUUCGGAAUUACUGGGCGUAAAGGGCUCGUAGGCGGCCAACUAAGUCAGACGUGAAAUCCCUCGGCUUAACCGGGGAACUGCGUCUGAUACUGGAUGGCUUGAGUUCGGGAGAGGGAUGCGGAAUUCCAGGUGUAGCGGUGAAAUGCGUAGAUAUCUGGAGGAACACCGGUGGCGAAGGCGGCAUCCUGGACCGACACUGACGCUGAUGAGCGAAAGCGUGGGUAGCAAACAGG